UUUUGGUGCAGUUGUAAAUGGGAUCGUUUACUUAAUUUCUCUUUCUGCUGCUUCAUUAUUGGGCUGAACCAUUCAGAAAGAUCAGAAGGGCCUCUCUUCCCAGUUAAAAGAAGAAAUGUGCUAAAGUAGGAGAGGCGUCAGGGAGAUGACAGUGACCACAAGAGAAGAUGACAGUGACCACCCUGCUCUCUUCUCUGUGCCAAGAGUUGUCCUAAUCUGGAGAAGCAAUCAGAGUUCUCAAGCUGCCUUUCGGUCUGCUAGAACAGAAGGUGCUGACAGGGUGGGAGGAAAGGCAGGCCUCCUUUCAGUUUACUAAUUCUGCAGCCGCCCUUCACAAACGCCAGCAAAUAUUUUGCGAUGUUGCAAGGUGUUACGAGAAGUGAAAAGCAAGCUGUGAUUCAGCUGGUAUGAAGACUUUGCAAAUAAAAAAGAGUGAUCUGUUUUGCAGCAAACUAUUAUUUCUGCCAGAGCCCACAGACUGGAAUACUAAAAGAGGUAUUUCUGCAAGACACUGCCAUCAUACAUAUUGGGUUUUCCAAAUAAGACCAAUUUCAAAUUCACUGGCUCAGCAGGUCCCAACCUGUGGACCUCAGGCCCCUGGGAGCUGUGGAAUCACCUCAAGGGAUGUGCACACCCAUGUGCAUGUGCUCUGUCUGCAGACUGAAUGAAAAAUGUGCUCAUCCACAUGGGUUGCAUCUCAAAUAUGCAUAAAUGUUGUAAUGAAUAAAAGAA